CAGCCCUCGUUCUGUUGCAUUUCAAUUUACAGACCUUCCAUGGCGCCUGGGACUGUGACUGCUCGAGCCACAGGCGCCAUUAUUGCCGCCAUCUCUGUUUCUAUGGUCCUCUUCUCUUACCUUCUUCGCAAACGCCAUUCGAAGGAUCAUUCGAGGAAGAACACAAAAUCCUUCUCUGUAUCGAAGAAAUGUCCAACAAAUGGGCUCGUAGGUGCCAUUGGCAAUACCCCUUUGAUACGGAUUAAUAGCCUCUCCGAGGCCACCGGUUGUGAGAUUCUUGGGAAGUGCGAGUUCUUGAAUCCGGGUGGAAGUGUGAAGGAUAGAGUUGCAGUUAAGAUCAUUGAAGAGGCCUUAGAAUCUGGUAAGCUAGUUGAGGGUGGUGUAGUUACAGAGGGAAGUGCUGGAAGCACUGCCAUAAGUCUUGCCACAGUUGCUCCUGCUUAUGGUUGCAAGUGCCAUGUGGUUAUUCCAGAUGAUGCUGCUAUUGAAAAAUCUCAAAUACUUGAAGCGCUUGGAGCUCAUGUUGAAAGGGUAAGACCAGUGUCAAUUACGCACAGAGAUCACUUUGUUAACAUUGCUAGGAGGAGAGCUGCGGAAGCCAAUGAGCUAGUUUUGAAGAACAAAAAAGAAGAGCAACUAUUUGUGGGAGACAAGGAACAAAUUAAUGGUCACAUUCAUGAGAGAGAAACCCAAGAUUCCUCUUUCUCAAGUAAUUGCAAGGGUGGUUUCUUUGCUGAUCAAUUCGAAAACUUGGCGAAUUAUCGAGCUCAUUACGAGGGUACGGGACCAGAAAUUUGGGAACAAACUGGUGGAUGUAUAGAUGCCUUCAUUGCAGCUGCGGGAACCGGUGGCACCGUGGCUGGUGUUUCCAAUUUUCUCCAGGAGAAGAAUCCAAAUGUGAGGUGUUUCCUCAUAGAUCCUCCUGGCUCUGGCCUGUUCAACAAGGUGACUAGAGGAGUUAUGUACACUAAAGAGGAGGCUGAAGGACGAAGAUUAAAGAACCCUUUUGACACAAUAACUGAAGGAAUUGGAAUCAAUAGAUUAACGCAGAAUUUCUUGAUGGCAAAACUUGACGGGGCAUUUCGUGGAACAGACAGGGAAGCCGUUGAAAUGUCAAGAUAUCUGUUGAAGAAUGAUGGGCUCUUUCUAGGGAGCUCUUCGGCCAUGAAUUGUGUUGGAGCUGUGAAAGUGGCACAGUCAAUAGGCCCUGGCAACACUAUUGUUACCAUUCUUUGCGACACUGGAAUGAGGCAUCUGAGCAAGUUUUUCAGUGCAGAGUAUCUGAGUCAAUACGACUUGACGCCCAAGGCUACCGGUUUAGAAUUUCUGGAAUCCAGGUGAAAUGGUAGACCUACGAGCCACAAAAUCUCGUGUUAUAGAGCCUGGAGGUUCUCGUGUUAUAGAGCCUGGAGGUUCUCAUGUUAUAGAGCCUGGAGGUUCUCAUGUUAUAGAGCCUUGAGGUUCUCGUGUUAAAGAGCCUGGAGGUUCUCGUGUUAAAGAGCUUGGAGGUUCUCGUGUUAAAGAGCCUGGAGGUUCGGUAUGCCUACUUGAAAUUCUCAUCAUAUUUUAGGGUCUUGGAGUACAAAAUUGACCAUUUUCAUGUUGCAAGUCAUCAACGUUGGAUUAGAGUAAUUCAAUUUUGUAAGAUUGAGGCAUUGUUGUUAGGAAGUUUAAGAACAUUCAAUGAUUAGCUUCACCAAACAUGCUGCUUUUACAGCAACUACUUGAAUUAUACCAUUGAAGCUCCAAUACAAAACUUAUUAUAGUUCUA